GAAGCAGGCGAAGAGGAGCCUGAAACUCCGAGGAGGUCGGCAGACAGCCUGGAUAUUGAUGGCGAGACAGAUGAUACAAGCACCGAGUCACUCCCAUCUGCAUCUUCUGUGUCUUCUGCACCAUCUACAUCUGGAGAAAGCUCAUCAGCUGCAGGCAUUACAGAGACCACUGGAAGAAGCACAACAGCCACCAAGUCCUCUGGAACUACAUCUGCAAAGAGCAGGAAAAGGAAGACCAAGAUGGAAGCAACACAGGAAAUCUUCACUGAAAAGAUCAGCAGUGCCCUCAACAACACAGACGACACUGAGCUUCAAUUGAAAAUGCAAGCAGCACAGCAUGAACAUGAGCUCAAAAUGCUCUCAAUGUUCACACAGUUUCUUGCCAGGUCAAAUUCCCCAUGUCCACCUUUCUACCAGGCACCAGUCCAGCCCUCACAGUACAACCCAAGACAACUUGCCGCCUCAGCCUACCUUUUACAACUUUACUCAGCCCCCUAAAUUUAGCACGGGUUCACCUCAGCCUCCACCAUGUAACGAGACAACCAACCAGCCUCUGUCUUUCCUGCAAGAUCUGGCUCAACCUCUACCUUUCAACCAUCCACCAUUCUACUGACCUCCAGGUGAUGAGGAAAAAACAUCCUGUUGUCCUGAAGAGUAGAUUGACCAGGUCCCUCAUAGGCC